rnacentral:lncRNA from 1 species
GUGGAUUGUAGGGAAGGGAAGCAUGAAUUUCCGACUUCACAGAGGAAAAGGGCUUGUUUCACAUGCAUUCUUCAGAAGCUGCUGGAACAUUCUACUCUGAAGGACUAUUGAUCUUUGUGUCUGUGAGGACCCCAACUCAUGCCAAAAUAUCAUUACACCCCCAAGUCCUGGGGAGCUGACUCUUGCAGCAGGAGCAGGGGGAAUGGAUUGUCUGGCACACAUAAGAUUCCUCCAGAACACCCAGGGGAGGACACCAGGACUGCGUGAGAUUGGUAAAUAUCAGUCAUAGACGAUGUGUUGCCAUUUUGGGGGCCUCAUCUUCUCCCACUCCCCCAGACUCACUGAGAAAGGAGGAGGUGUUGGCUUCCUUUCCACGUUCCUUUCCUUUGAAGACCAAAGGCAGUCUCUACC